GGUUUUUAUGGUAAUUGGAAGGGCUGGGCAAACACACAGAGAAAUAAGUUAAUGGGAAGACAGAAUUCUUCUUCUCCUCCUCCUCCCCCAACCAACUUCUGCUGUCUUUUUCAGUUGGAAUCUAGCUGGGAUCAGAAUGGAUGCAGCUAAUAGCUUAUAAUCAUGCUCAAAGCAUCCUAUUUGGAAAAAGCUUCAGGAGUGGUUUUACUCAUUGCAAGGCAGAUUAUUCAAUACAAGGAACCUUCCAGGAACUUGAAACAACAGGAGAAAGGAGAAAGGUGUGUGGAAAGAUAUGUCAUGUCUGUCAGGAGCAAUUUGUGAAAAGCAACAACUUUCACUGA
rnacentral:lncRNA from 1 species